GAUGAACGCUAGCUACAGGCUUAACACAUGCAAGUCGAGGGGUAACGAGAGGAAAGCUUGCCUUCCUUGUCGACGACCGGCGCACGGGUGAGUAACGCGUAUCCAACCUGCCCCCAACUAGGGAAUAACCUUGCGAAAGUAAGACUAAUACCCUAUAAUUUCCUCAGAUGUCAUCUGACGAGGAAUAAAGAUUUAUCGGCUAUAGAUGGGGAUGCGUCUGAUUAGCUUGUUGGCGGGGUAACGGCCCACCAAGGCAACGAUCAGUAGGGGUUCUGAGAGGAAGGUCCCCCACAUUGGAACUGAGACACGGUCCAAACUCCUACGGGAGGCAGCAGUGAGGAAUAUUGGUCAAUGGGCGGAAGCCUGAACCAGCCAAGUAGCGUGCAGGAUGACGGCCCUAUGGGUUGUAAACUGCUUUUAUACAGGAAUAAAGUUAGCCACGUGUGGUUAUUUGUAGGUACUGUAUGAAUAAGGACCGGCUAAUUCCGUGCCAGCCGCCGCCGUAA
rnacentral:rRNA from 1 species